rnacentral:rRNA from 1 species
UACGUAGGGUCCGAGCGUUGUCCGGAAUCAUUGGGCGUAAAGCGCGUGUAGGCGGCUCGGUAAGUCUGCUCUGAAAGCCCGGGGCUCAACCCUGGGAGGCGGGUGGAUACUGCUGAGCUCGAGUCCGGAAGAGGCGAGUGGAAUUCCUGGUGUAGCGGUGAAAUGCGCAGAUAUCAGGAGGAACACCAAUGGCGAAGGCAGCUCGCUGGGACGGUACUGACGCUGAGACGCGAAAGCGUGGGGAGCAAACAGG